rnacentral:lncRNA from 1 species
AGUAGAAAGAGGCCGAAACAUAUGGCACGUGGGAAUAAAGUUGCUUUAUAUGUUCCAAGCGAAUGAAGCAAGCGAGAAAAAACCUUUCGUGCAAAUCUAAAUUUGAGACAGAUAUCUUACCUUACACUUUUCCUAAUUUUGGUUUCUUUAAUUCCCUUCAUUUUUUUAUAUCUUGGUUGUACGUAGAACAUUCGGGGGGCAUGCACUGGGCAUAACCCUGGCUUGUGUACCCCAGUGCUAAAUCAGCAGGUGGGUUUUGAUAUCUCUGGAUCUUUAGCAAUUUUAAAACUUUUUAUAGUUGUAAUGGAUGAGAAAAUCCCUGCAAUCUGAUUGGUUGAGAGCAAUGCAAAAAUUUUACUGGGCUGCAUGAACGAUAUCCCGAUAAUCAAAACGCAACGAUAUCCACUGUAAACAAGCAAUCGUCCGAAAAGGUCAUUGUGAUGUCAUCGCGCAUGUACUGUUACCGUCGCUUGUUUACGUCAAAAUUUGAAUUUCGAUCAAAGCAGAAUGAAUCAAAGGAUGCAAAAUGAUCUAUUCCCAUUCAGCCAUUGGACUGAACCGGUACCAAGACCGGAACUGUAACACAGUAAGGAUGGUCAAUAUGAAGCGAGCUUCAUUGAAUUCCUCCAAGAGCUCUGUACUCUGUUCUGAUCAUUUUGAAGAUGCUUGCUUUGACCUGGGCAGACGAUACGUCUUAAACAGGAUGCUGUCCCAACCAUAUUUGAUUUCCCGCCUCGUCUUCAGAAGAAUUCACCCAAACCAAGGUAUUUCCCAAAAGACUUUUCGAUUCAGCAAACAACCUCCCAGAUACUGCAAAGACACCAGUGCCAAAGUCUUCAGCACCUUAAUUUCUCGAAGACCACUCCUACUGAAUACCAGAAAGUCCAAGAGGGGUAAAGUGGAAGUCAACAACAAUAAUGGACUGUAUUAAAACUUGGAGAAGAGGCUGAAAACCACACAGAAGUCCUACCUUAUACAUUACUUGCUUUUAAGUUUGGACAAACAUUGAUUUGCACAACUUUACAACAAAAAAUUUACGCUGUGUGGAUUCUGAUUAUUUAAAAUAGCUCAAUGAAAACGUUUAUCACUGGGCAUGUAACAAAAAUGAAUUCAUUGAAUUUGAAGAUGUCUUACAGUAUAUUCAUUCUGAUUUGAAUGUCAGAAGAGAAAAAAGUUUGUGAAAAGUAGGAAUGACGGCAAGCUGACAGAAGAAUAGAAUACAUGUAGGAUAGAACAAGGCCACAGUUAUAAAUGAGCUGUUGGAUAGAGACAAAAAGAUGAAUUAAGAAUGGGGGUGAUAGAGAAAUAGAGACAGGAAUUGGGGAGCCUGUGAUGAAUGCCUGAGAAAGUAAAAAUUACCAUAUUUUAUUUUUUUAAGGAUUUGAACAGUC